rnacentral:lncRNA from 1 species
CUGGCGUCUACGGUGCGCUAAGGUUGCCCCCUGUCAGUUAUUGUCGGGUUAUCCGACUUCUUUGCGGUCUGGGGCGGCUUUUUGUGCCUUUCUUCUCCGGCAAUGCUGGAGCCCCUGUACAGUGCGUCCGGACGGCCCGGCGGCCCGGCCCCGCCCCUAUUUAAACAUAUUUGUAUAGAUAAACUUCGAAAGAUGCUUUUGUGUUAUCCAAUAAAACUUUCUCUCUUAAAUUUGCGAGUUGUCUUUUGCUUUUUUUUUUUGUUGUAUAUAUUUAUUGUCAGGUUCUUAAGGUUAUGUUACAAAGUAUAGAAGGUACAGUGAUAAAGUAUACGUUGUAAAGUAUAUAAGGUACAAUGAUAAAGAAUAUGAGCGAGUAGUGCAUAGCACAUGUGAUAUGUACCGGCAGUGGCAUUAUGUUCCCGUUUGUUUUGUACAUUACGAAUGCGGUGGUCAGCAGUUUCGUGUUGGCAAAUGAUUUUAACUGUAUAACAGGGACUAGUAGGUCCCAACUUCUCAGCCAGGUCUGUGGCCAGCGUGCUGCUACGUCUGGGGAGGGAGGGGGGAGGGGGGGAGGUAAGGCGGGUGCUAAUUACCGCUGAAUAGUCACGAGGAGGGCCCUGAACCGUCUGGGUUCUCAUAAGGUUGUGGUUUUGCCUAUGUAUUUUGACCAAGGUUCCCAUGUGGCGACAUAGUGGGCGUAAUUAUCGUUUAGUGAGGCUGUCAGUUCCUCCAUAAUCCGUAUCGAUUCUACCUUCUGGAACCAAUCCCUCAUUGAUGGGGCCUUAGUGGCCUUCCACUGUAUCGGUAUGAGGAGAUUGGCCGCCGUUUGGUGAUGGGGUCUGAGAAUAAUAAGAAGAGCAUUGUCUCCAGUUUGAGUGGUACGUCCCUCCUUGUAAUAUUGUUGAUUAUCUCCCGUACUCUCUUCCAAUAGGGUUGUAUGGUUGGACAAUGCCACCAGAUGUGAGCUGUUGUCCCUCCUGUUUGCCCACAUCUCCAACAAAUAUCUAGUGUGUGUGUGGGAAUAUAUGUUGGAGUUUGGUGGGCGAAUAGUGCCACCUUGAUAUUCUCUUGUACGUGCUUUCUUGAAUAGCGGUGCUAACUGAAGAUCUCUGAAUGCUCUGGAAAAUGGUGCCCCAUUCCCCCUGUGUAAUGUUAGUAGAGAGUUCCCUAUUCCAUGUUUGGGUGUACUGUGGCAGGUGUCCUUUCAGCUCUCCUUGGAGCAACUUAUAGAAUAUCGAUAGAUGUUUGUUUUUGAGAGAUUGGGACGUGCAAUAUAUUUCAUAUGGUGUGAACGACCGGGAUCCUGUUGGUAGUGUUCGCGUGGAUCGUAUGAAGUGGGUCAGUUGUGCAUAUCGAAAAGUCUGGAGUGUCGUGGGCUGGUCUACUCCCAUUAGGGCGUCGAGCGGUUUGACUGAGCUUCCCUCUAAGACUGAGUGCAGUCUCAGAUAGGGCGUCUUUUGGGGUAGCUUUAGGAAGUCAAAUGAGUGGUUCGGUAGCCCUGGCUGGCACAAUGGGUUUCCUGUCAGGGGGCAUAGGGGGGACGGGUGGGGGGAUAUUGAGGUCCCCUGUCUCAUGUGUUUCCAGGUUUUGAGUGUGGGUGUAAUGGUGGGAUGGCUGAACUGGUGUGGGGUUAAGAAUGGAGAGCCAGAGCUGUGCCACGGAAUCCCGUGGAGCGGGGUUGUGAAGAAAGAUUUCUCCAGUUGCACCCAUUGUAGCUGCGGGCACGGGUUGGCCCAUUCAUAAAUCCUAGUGAGUAUGGUCGCUGCGUGAUAGAGCUCUAUGUGUGGCAUCCACAGGCCGCCUUGGCUUUUGGGUUUCGUGAGCGUGGUGAAGGCUAUCCUGGGAUGUUUGGUUGCCCAUAUAAAUUUGGUGAAAAGGUGCCUGAGUUUGAGGAAGAAUGAUUUGGGGAUGUGGAUUGGAAGUGUUUGCAAAAGGUACAACAGUCUUGGGAGCGUAUUCAUUUUUAGAAUGUUGAUGCGGCACAGCCAUCCGAAUUGGGGCUUGUGCCAUUUGGUCAGAUCUGUUUCAAUCUGUUGAAGGAGUGGGAGGAAAUUUAUAUUAUAAGUGGCUGCGAGAUUAUGUGGUAGGUGAACCCCUAAAUAUUUGAUAUCCGUUUCGGCCCACGAGAAUGGGUACUUCCUUCUUCAGUGUGAAUUGCAGUGGUUGGGAAAUUUCCAAAGGCAGGAUUUCGCUCUUGGAGAAGUUAACCUGGAAAUUGGAUAUCUGAUUAUAGGCAGCUAUUUCCCCCAGAAGCGGUUGCAUGGAGGUGCCGUGUGAGGUUAGCGUAAAGAGUAGAUCAUCAGCGAAUGCUGAGAUCUUGUAUUCCUGAUGUCCCACCUGGAAGCCUGUGAUGUCUGUGUUGUCCCUAAUCCCCUGAAGGAAUGGUUCCAUCGUGAUGAUGAAGAGGAGCGGGGACAGGGGGCACCCCUGUCUCGUGCCGUUUCGUAUGUGCACUGGGUCUGACAGUUGUCCGUUGAUUUUAAGUUUGGCCGUGGGGGCAGAGUAUACUGCACUGAGCCAAUUGUCCCAGUUUGGCCCAAAGCCCAUGGCUUGCAUUGUGGCUCUGAGGAGGGACCAGUCCACCCGGUCGAAUGCUUUUUCAGCAUUGACCGAGAGCAAGAGGCUGGGUAGGCAUUGGGAGUGAGACAGAUGGAUGAUGUUUAAGAGCUUCGUUGUGUUAUGUUUUGCCUCCCGUCUCGGGACAAAGCCCGCUUGGUCAGUGUGUAUGAGUUCGGGUAGCAGGGGCGCAACUGGUUUGCAAGAAUUUUAGUAAAAAUUUUAAGGUCCACAUUAAUUAGAAAUAUUGGGCGAUAGCUGCCACAACUUGUGGGGUCUUUUCCUGGCUUUGGUAAUAGUGUGAUAUGUGCCUCUAAAGCUGGGGCCGGUAGACUUGGGGCGUUGGUGAGGGAGUUAAAAGCUUCUAGGAAGGGGUCUGCCAGUUAUGUUUUUGAAUGUUUUAAAGUAUUUGGCCGUGUAACCAUCUGGGCCUGGGCUUUUCCGCAGAGGUAGCGAGCCCACUACUCCCAAGAAUUCGUCUCUCGUCAGAGGACCGUCUAGGGUUUGUAGCGCUCAACCAGGGAUCUUGUGACGCACCC